AUAAAAAAAACAUCUGCAAAAUACGAAAUAAGAAUCGUGGGUUUGAAUUUUCUCGAAUUCUAAAGCCCUAUUUCACUUUUUUUUUAUUUCUCGAGUUAUGAUGGUGUUAAUUUUAUAAUUCGAUUGAUCUAUUCUGAUUUAUUUUGCAGAUAUCGAUUUGAAAUCAUCAAGAAGGAAACUAUUAGCGAAAGAGAAAACAACAUAGUUUUUCUUUCAAAACAAAAGACUCCUGCAAAGCUUAUGCGGGAGAACAAGAGGGUGCUGGAUAAAUCUAUAGAGAAAAAUAUUUUAAGCACAAGGGAAGAAAAUUUAUUGUUGGGAUUAAGAAAAGCCCCGAGCAAGAGCAGAUGUUUUUUUUGAAUACAUGUACCCAGGAUUUUAGUGUGAUUAUGUGCAGGCAACCGCAACGAGAAUACAAGAACAAUGGAUGGUGGGCAAAAAAUUGUUUCUUAAAUUUGAAGACAAAGCAACAACAACGACAACACUGGGAAAAAUUCACUAUACCCUGUUUGCGACAAAAGGUGAUCAAGGCAAGGCAAGGCAAGCUUAUAAAGAGUUGAAAGUCUGGAAACUGUAAAAUCAAUCAGGUAUAUGGCAUGGAUAUGCACUUAAGGGAUGAAAAGCUAAAAAAAGGCAGACUAUGUAAUUGAGGCGUUAACCUGCUUUACAAUCUCCGAUGUUUGAAACAAGCUAAUGGCAAACAGUGUAGGCAUUAAACAUCAGGUAUUGUACCGGAAGGAGUCCAUGUACCAAAAAUGCAAGUAUAUAUUCUCACAAAUGUCCAUCAUGAACCCAUCAAGGUAAGUUUUCACAAAAAGACAUUAUCUAUACUCUUUUUUUUUUGCUUUAGUUUUCACGGUGCGGAUCCUAUCUAUAGUAGAUGGUAGACCCAAAGAUGGCGAAGGUGACACUAAAAUCUGAAACCGAUGGGAGCAGAGAUAUGUGGUAAGAACUACCAUGACAAUAUAGUAGUUACAACCAUUUUCUACCCUCAAAAUUAAUUAUAACAGCAACACAGGCUACUCUAAAUUGAACGAGUUGGAAAUCCGAAGUUGUAAUUCAUUUUCCGAGUCGAUAAACUGUUUGCAUACUAUUGGACCAAUGCUCAUCUGUUGAAAGGGUAUGAAACGGCUCUUUAAUUCAUGUUUGUGGAUCACGUUGACAUUUAGGAUGUUAUGGCCUUGAAGUUGGGAAAUAAUAUGCACUGCAUCUCUAAACUACUAACACAUAUAGGCUGUUUUAGUUCCCUAUUGUCUGAAAUAGUAUAUUGAACCAAAAGUGAAACCCCAUUUGGUAUCUAAAUUUGUUUUUGUUGAUUGAUACAUUUUUUUCAUUCGCUUGUGCACAACUCUACAUGCUACAAAAGGAGAAACUGCUUCUCCUAGGUGAACUUGGUUAGCAUUUUUACAUCUAAGGUUCGAUUCAUUAGAAAUCAUAUACCGUUAAAUGUAUCAAGGCUAACCCAAUUCUAUCUAGGAAUACUAAUAAUACUCUUUCCGAAAAUUGUCUUGGCAAAUUGCGCAGGAGUUUAAUAUAGUUGGAUGAGUAUCAUUUCUUCUGGAGGAUCAGAUUUUCUAUCCAUAGUACCCGUCCACUAUAUAAUGGAUAUUAUUUAAUUUAGGUUCCAUAUGUACGUGUUAACAUGUUAUAAAGUGGGUUAUGUGUAUGACAAAUGCUAAGUGGGUUAUGUGUAUGACAAAUGCUAUCUCACACGACUUUGCGGGAUGGCUUCCCGCAAAAGCGACUUCUUUACCGUUGGAUGAUCAAAUCAAUGGUUAGAUUCACAUUCAGGAAAGGACCAGUCACUUUUAGGAAGGACCCACCACUUCCAGAAAGGACCCACCAUUUCCCCUAAAGGGUUCAAGGCUGUUAGAUAUGGAUUUUAGCAUGAUCUAAUGGUAAAGAAGCCGCUUGAGCAUGAUGGCUUCCCGCAAGGUCGUGCGGGAUAGCACUGCUCAAUAUGUAUUUUGUUCUAGAAAACUGGUGAUUUGAACAAAGAAAGUGAGAGGAAAUCCAGGGCUCUGUAACUUCAGAGAGGACAGGAAAUCCAGGGCUCUGUAACUUCAGAGAGGACCUGAGUCGUGGUGAAAAAUGUGAUUGAUUUUAUGUCAGAGUUCAUAUCUAUUUUGUACAAUCAUAUGAUCUCAAAGCGUGGAAUAUGUUCUGAUAGUGGUAAUGGUAAUGGUAAAAGAUAAAAAGAAAAUCAAUUAAAUUGAUACAACUGUAUA